UACGUAGGGUGCGAGCGUUGUCCGGAUUUAUUGGGCGUAAAGAGCUCGUAGGCGGCUUGUCGCGUCGGAUGUGAAAGCCCGGGGUUUAACUCCGGGUCUGCAUUCGAUACGGGCAGGCUAGAGUGUGGUAGGGGAGAUCGGAAUUCCUGGUGUAGCGGUGAAAUGCGCAGAUAUCAGGAGGAACACCGGUGGCGAAGGCGGAUCUCUGGGCCAUUACUGACGCUGAGGAGCGAAAGCGUGGGGAGCGAACAGG
rnacentral:rRNA from 1 species